rnacentral:rRNA from 1 species
GUGCAAAGGUAGCAUAAUCAUUAGAGGUUUAAUUGGAAUCUGGAAUGAAGGGUUGGACAAAGGAACAACUAUCUUAAAUUAUAUAAGUUGAAAUUUACUUUUAAGUGAAAAGGCUUAAAUAUUUUAGGGGGACGAUAAGACCCUAUAAAGCUUUAUAGAUAAUUUAAAUUUAGUUGAAUUAAAUUAUAAAAAUUAAAUUUAAUUAUUCUAUUUUGUUGGGGUGAUAUGAGUAUAAGUAUUGUUAACUGCUUAAUAGUAAUUCUAUCAUAGUAGCAUUAAUAAAUUGAAUGAUCCUUUUUAAAGAUUAAAAGACUAAGUUACUUUAGGGAUAACAGCGUUAUUUUUCUUGAGAGUUCAUAUCGAAAGAAAAGAUUGCGACCUCGAUGUUGAAUUAAAAUAUCUAUAUAAUGCAGCAGUUAUAUAAGAGGGUCUGUUCGACCUUUAAAUUUUUACAUGAUUUGAGUUCA